UGGUCUAGGAUUGUUGGAGGAG
rnacentral:miRNA from 4 species